GAUCGAGGCCAUCAGAGCAGCUUUGAUGGCCCCAGCCUUCUCCUCCUGUUUCAACAGAGCCUCACAGAUGGGGUACCUGAUAACACCCCCGUCUUCUGUCCACCCCUUUCUGUUUGCUUUUCCUCCCAGCCGCUUCACGUCCGAUGGCGCUGCCCUGGGCCAGAGGGGAAGUGACCCAGCUGUGGGGCUCAGCAUGAUGGGGGCUUUGUGUCCUUCAAAGGGGAUGAACAAACAGCCAGUGGUCCCAGCCUGGCUGGGGGGAUCCUGCGGAAAUACCACAGUCAACACUCUUGGGAGCUGCCUCCUGCCCGCUCCAAGGCUUUGGAUCCAAAGAAGUCUUUUCCUGCCGUAAGGUCAACAAGACAAAGCCAACUCUCAGUUUGCAAAAGGCUCUGGCACCUGCCUGGGAGCAUUUAAUUACCCUGACAAUGGCAUCAAGAGAAGAAGGGCCAUGAGACCCCUUCAAUCACAAAUCCACAGAGGAGGCAUCACUUUGCCUGCUGCUCCCACAUGCCUGGGGCCGGCACCUGCAGGCUGCAGACUCGCCCCAAGAGCAGGACCAUCAUCCAGCCCUCUUAGGGACGCCUUUUCUCCCUCAGAGCCUGCAAUGCUACACAUGGUACUGGCUUUUUUAUGCCGUUCUUUUCCUUUGUCCUUUGCACUGCUCUUAUGCCAAUAAAUGCACAUUAUAAAAAAAACAAAGCAGUGGACAGUUCUAAUCUCUAAGUCAACAUGUGCCCUUAUCACAGAGGGUGGUUCCCACUCAGCAGGCUCAGGCUGUCUUUAAUCCAAAAGCAGCAACGUGUGUACACACUGCAGAGCAAAUCAGAGGCAAAACUUCCCUGGGCUUUCCAGGCCCUUUUGGGAGCAGAGGAGUGAGCAGCCAGGGACUCUUGCAGGACCAGAUCCUGCUAGAGAGGUACAGCAGGUACUGCAGGACCCUGCUGGGCAGGCACAAGUCCACUAUACCAAGCAGAUCACUCCAACCACAUCUUCACAUCCUGUCAUGGUUCUGUUCGAGGCAUUGCACAGAGAUGUUUCCAAGCCUGUUAAGUAACUGUAAAUUUUCUGCUGGCCUUCUUGAGCAAAACACCAAAUUGUAGACAUACAUCUGGUUUUCUAGGAUUCUAACCACAAAGUCUGGAAGGGAAAAAACCUCCAUCAGCCCUCAGCUGUGGCAAAUGUUGAUUUAAGAGAAGUGCUUACAAAAUUGCACAUGAAGCACUUUGCAAAAGUGACCUGCCUGGAGGCGCACUGAAAAAGCAGAAAGAGGAGCUGUGCCCUACGCUCCAGAUACGGAUCAGCAAGAGCCAGAACAAAGCGGACCAAGGGAACUCAUGACAGGCCCAUGUUUUCAAGGAAGAGAUUCACAUGACUGUGAAUCCCAGCUCCUGUGUUCUCUCCCCGCUGAUUUCUUUUCCCUUUCCACUUCCCCUCACUCAAACCCUGCCGGGGCCAGUCCAUGGGUAGCCAUCGAAGGCACGGCAGUGCGCAGUGACACAGACCUUUGAUGCGCCCCAGGGCGGCCACGCUGAGUCCCCCUGCUUUUCAAAGGCCGGUCCUUGGCUAUUGUGUUCACAUCCUGAGCUUGUUUGUACACUUGCUGCAGGGCCCGAUCCCUGCAGCCCCCCUGCCACGGCCCAGCCGCCCUGACCCAGAUAAAAGCGGGGCAGGGCCGCUAUCAGGGCGCGGACACGCGGCACCGUCCGAGCUGCGGCCGCCGCGAUAGCGGAGCCAGGCCGGGCCGGGCCCAAGGCUCCGGGUCAGCGGCGGCCCCGCAGAGCUGCACCGGGCCUGGCUGUGACCAGGGCACUCGGGCAGCUGCCAGCAGCGUUAUCAGCGCCCUGCACGCCCAGGGGUGUCCUGGCACUGCUGCUCUCCCCCUCUGCUGCCCCUGGAGAGGACCAGCAGCUUGCCAACAGAGGGAACUGCCAGGCGGCAAGCGACACCCAAGCUGCUAAAGCUCUUUGAUCAUCGCCUCAGCACGCCCAGCACCGAGCUGGGUAACAGUCCACCCUCCUCCCUAUAGGUAAGGUAAGGUGGUGCAAGGAGCACACCGUGACUUGGUGGUUAAAAUCCCAGUGAAAUCCAUCUUUGCAAGCAAGGAAGCCCCGUUAAAAGAGCCAGACUGUUUUAGUCCCACUGGGGCAGUGUCCAAGUAUGAGCCUCUCUGCUGGGCCUCCAUGUCAGCCCCUGGCAAGAAGAGCAGCAGUAAGGAGCAUCACUGCAUCCACAUCCCUCCUUGUGUGAUAGGAGAGAUGGGGAGAUGAGCCUCCACAUUGCAGGAAGGCAAAAAAAACACAAAAUCCCAGAGGAUUUUGAGGGCAUGUUCCAUGGGAUACCCCAGGAGCGCAUCUUUAUAGGAGCAAGAGCCCACAGUGUCCUCAGUCCCAAACCUCUCCUCCAGGUGCUUGGUGCUCUUGUCUCCUCUCAGCUAGCUGGUGGGAGCACCAGACCAGCUCCAGGUGCUUCCCCAGAAAGGAUGCAAAGACGAGUGUUCUUUUGAAGGGACAACAAUGCAGUCGCCAGUUGUCAGCUUUAUCCACAGUGUUUUCAUUCUCCCAAGUGCCUUUUACUUCACCUCCUCCACAGUCUCUUUGCUACAGGACAAGAAGAGGCAGCAGAUCCUCUCCAAGAUGCCAGUGCCUGUCACAAUCCCUCCCCUUCCUCAGCCUGCAUGGCAGCACAUGUCAGGGCAGUGGCCAAGGAACAACAGCUCCCAAGCAUGGCUGUGGGUGCCUGAAUUGCUGGGAGAGCAGGA